CCUACGGGUGGCAGCAGUGGGGAAUAUUGCGCAAUGGGCGAAAGCCUGACGCAGCGACGCCGCGUGAGGGCUGAAGGUCUUCGGAUCGUAAACCUCUGUCAGCAGGGAAGAACGGUCACUGUGCUAAUCAGCAGUGAAUUGACGGUACCUGCAAAGGAAGCACCGGCUAACUCCGUGCCAGCAGCCGCGGUAAUACGGAGGGUGCGAGCGUUAAUCGGAAUUACUGGGCGUAAAGCGCUCGUAGGCGGUAUGACAAGUCAAGGGUGAAAUCCCCGGGCUCAACGUGGGAACUGCCUUUGAAACUGGCAAACUGGAGUGUGUGAGAGGAUAGUGGAAUUCCAGGUGUAGGGGUGAAAGCCGUAGAUAUCAGGAGGAACAUCAGUGGCGAAGGCGACUAUCUGGCACAUAACUGACGCUGAGGAGCGAAAGCGUGGGUAGCAAACAGGAUUAGAUACCCUUGUAGUC
rnacentral:rRNA from 1 species